rnacentral:lncRNA from 1 species
ACACAAUAGUCCAUUCUAAUUUGAAAUCUAAUGUCAUAUUUUUUUUAUCAAGAUUACAUGAGCCAUUGGAGUAAACUAAAUAGAUUUUUUAAGAAACAAAGUAUAAUCAUUUAGAACUAUGUACUCGAAGUAUGUUACUAUCUUUCUCAAAUAAUGGGUUACAUUAAUUAAAUAUCGGGUUGUUAACGUCGGAUUUUGGCAAAUAGCUGUUGUGGAUUAAUGUACAAUUAGAAACCGAAUCAGAUAAAAAAAGGGCAAUCGGUUGGAAGAGUAAGGUGAAGUCAGUACGGGUUCAGCCGAAUGAGUCUGAGUCGGACAGAAAUUGGAGUCUGAUUGUGCCCUGAAGCUCAAAGAUAGAUUCGGAACUAUUCACAGUUCAUGUAAAUUAGUUUUAUCUAUAUCUUAGAGUUUGUUUAGGAUUUUAUAUCUAAUUAGAGCCUGUGUGUAAUAGGUUAGUUGUUAAUACGGGUCCAUAUCUGAUUAGAUUAGUUAAUUUCUAAAAUAUAAAUAGGGUAUCCACAGCUUUGUAAAGAUAAC